rnacentral:rRNA from 1 species
ACUGAAUAGAUACCCGGGUAGUCCUGGCCGUAAACGAUGUCCACUAGAUCGUGGUGGCUCUGACGCCAUCACGGUCGAAAGCAAAAGUGCUAAGUGGACCGCCUGGGAAGUACGGUCGCAAGGCUAAAACUCAAAGGAAUUGACGGGGGCUCACACAAGCGGUGGAGCAUGUGGUUCAAUUCGAAGCAACGCGCAGAACCUUACCUGGGCUUGACAUGCUAGGAUUAUCCCUAUGAAAGUAGGGUAGGCCCUUGGGUACGACUAGUACAGGUGCUGCAUGGCUGUCGUCAGCUCGUGUCGUGAGAUGUC